AGAGUUUGAUCCUGGCUCAGAGUGAACGCUGGCGGCAGGCCUAACACAUGCAAGUCGAACGGCAGCACAGAGGAGCUUGCUCCUUGGGUGGCGAGUGGCGGACGGGUGAGGAAUGCGUCGGAAUCUGCCUAUUUGUGGGGGAUAACGUAGGGAAACUUACGCUAAUACCGCAUACGACCUACGGGUGAAAGUGGGGGACCGCAAGGCCUCACGCAGAUAGAUGAGCCGACGCCGGAUUAGCUAGUUGGCGGGGUAAAGGCCCACCAAGGCGACGAUCCGUAGCUGGUCUGAGAGGAUGAUCAGCCACACUGGGACUGAGACACGGCCCAGACUCCUACGGGAGGCAGCAGUGGGGAAUAUUGGACAAUGGGCGCACAUGAUCCAGCCAUGCCGCGUGUGUGAAGAAGGCCUUCGGGUUGUAAAGCACUUUUGUCCGGAAAGAAAUCCUUUCGAUUAAUACCUCGGAGGGAUGACGGUACCGGAAGAAUAAGGACCGGCUAACUACGUGCCAGCAGCCGCGGUAAUACGUAGGGUCCGAGCGUUAAUCGGAAUUACUGGGCGUAAAGCGUGCGCAGGCGGUUUGUUAAGACAGAUGUGAAAUCCCCGGGCUUAACCUGGGAAUUGCAUUUUACUCCAGGUAAACAA
rnacentral:rRNA from 2 species